UUUUUUUUUGCCAUUGAUUUCAAGAUCAGGUACUAAGUUUUUGUCCUUCUGAUUGAUUUGUCAUAGUUCCAAAAAUCCCCCUACAAAAUUCUCUAAGCAGAAACCAAUGGCUGUCUAAAUGGGUUUUUUAGGUAGUACCUUCUGCUUUUACUUUAACCAGAUGGCUUCUGCAUUAUUUCACUUUAUUGGGGCAAUUGGUGGGGGGACCUGAUUCUUGCCAACACAUUUGGAUCAUUUGCACUGGUCAUGCGGUUUGCUUUGGGUGGCUUUGUCCUGUCAAGAGAGAACAUAAAGAAAUGGUGGAUAUGGGGUUACUGGAUGUAAAUUUCACGUCUAGCCUACUGUAUUUGCUGCAGAAUGCGAUUUUGGGUGUUGGUCCGUUUCUUCAAGACAAUGCAUGGGGUUGUCUUGAUCUAACUCAUUGCAAAGGUCAAAACCUUAAGUUCAUGAAUUGCACUUCAUAAGUCGCAAAAAACAAAAUAUAUUUUUAACAUUGUGGUAGAACUCACUCAUUCAUGGCUAAUUAUAAUU